rnacentral:rRNA from 1 species
UACGAAGGGGGCUAGCGUUGCUCGGAAUUACUGGGCGUAAAGGGCGCGUAGGCGGCCUGCUAAGUCGGACGUGAAAUCCCUGGGCUCAACCCAGGAACUGCGUCCGAUACUGGUUGGCUUGAAUCCGGGAGAGGGAUGUGGAAUUCCAGGUGUAGCGGUGAAAUGCGUAGAUAUCUGGAGGAACACCGGUGGCGAAGGCGACAUCCUGGACCGGUAUUGACGCUGAGGCGCGAAAGCCAGGGGAGCAAACGGG